rnacentral:lncRNA from 1 species
UCUCAAAACUGUCAGGAUACUUUGUUCCAUCCCAGGAUCAUUCUUCACUUGCAGGCCUUUAGGUCACCAUCGCAGUCAAGAUUAAAAUUUAGGCUACAUCCCAGCCAGUCAGGCCUCCCACUGCCAUUUGCUUCUAUGCUCUAAGGCCCCAGAAAAAAGCCCUGGGCACAAGUGAAGCAACGCAACCUGAGAGGAUAGCUCUCUUGUGGAGUGGCAGUGCUUCAGGAUUUGAUAUUCACAAAGGAACUGCAACACCUGAGCAACACAGAAGAAGGUAGCAGGAAUAAAAGGGCAAAGCAAGGCAAAACCUCAGGGAAAGCAAGGGAAAGGUGACAGGAAAAUGACACACAGCUUGGAAGGUGCCCUAAAGAGCCAUAACAAAGUCUGGGAGCACUGCCAUACUGUGCAAUGGAAAAGAUUUGUAUAUGUAAAUGGUCCUUACCUGUUCAGGCAACCAGUCACCUAAGUUGGGUUCCAGGGAAUUGUGGGACAUGCAGGUUUCCAUUCCUAAGCAGCAUACGGUCAAGCAAGGAGAAGGAAAUAAAGGAUAGCAGAGCACCAUCAACACAGUCAGUGCAUGUCCAUGCAGACUCGCAAACCCAGAGCUUCCUGGGUUGUUUCUGCUUUUAAAGCAUUUGUGUGCUGCAGAUGAGGAAAAGGUUCUGCUGUUGGAUUCUUCUUCUGCAAGAGAGGACGACAGUUAAAUGGCAGCUAACCUGCAGACCAAGCAGUACUGCCUGGUGUUGGUCAAGAUGAGCUCCUCCUGCCGCAGCUGAAUGGUGAUGCUGACAGGGCUGGAGAUGCUCUGCAGGGCCAGCUCGUAGCUGGCAGCCAGGAAUGGACACAGGGGGAGGAGAGAGCUGUCUAAAGCAGCUGAGGCAUCCAAGAGCAUCCAAAAGCCCUCAAAAGCAUCACAAAGCCACAGCCAGCAAGCUUGGGGUGAUCACGAGCAGCAUUCAGGAUGCUCGAGAUUAUUUGCUACCAUACACAAUGGGAGCAGAGCUCUCGUUGCACACAUCCCACGGCCAGACAAAGCGGGAACAAACCUGGAGCUGUGCUGCAUGCACAGCCCACAGCCAUAGCCUUGCAAGCUGAGGUGCCUUGCUGUUUGUCGUAUCCAUCCCAAUCCCUGUGUGAAUGAAGACUCAGAAUGCAGUCAAGGCGUUGAUCCAGCACGAGAGUGCUUUUAUUCACUAAAAGCCAGGAGGGCGUGACAGGUCCGGUGGACACAUGGCACUCAUCCUCUCUCGUUAAGGAGAGAGGGGCUCAGAGCUCGUGCUGCUGCCCGGUGCCUGGGACUGGAGCUCCGAUUCUAAGUCCCCCUCCACAAGGCUCGGCUCCUCCUCGCUGACGCUGACCUGAUCCUGCAUGGAGGUGCUGCUGUCGGGGCACUCGGGCUGUGCUUGGGCUGGGCUGCACUGCGGUGACGCCCCGUCACAGUCCAGGUCGGUGACUGCUGUGUCUGGCAGGAUCAGGUCAGAGUCUUCUGCGCAGCUGGGAGAAAUGAGAGCUUCCACUUGAAUGAGCUCCUUCUCUCCAUCACUGUUGUCGCAUGGAAGGCUGUCAUUGGAACUGCAGCAAUUUGUGCUUCCUAGCAGCUCACCGCUGAUGGAAGCACACAGAUCACCAUCGCUAUUUGCUGUGGCUCUUCUGGGUGGACAAGGGCUCAAUUCCCCUAGGAAUGAGUAGAUACACAGAGGUUAGCGUCAAACUUUCACUGUCCAAGGAGGCCAGGCUUGGUGCUGUCUGUCACGGAGGCUUCAAGCAACAUGCAAGAUGCUCCCCAGCCAGCCCUAAACAACAACAAAAACAGCAGCAACAGCAACAAAGAAAGGAGUUAGCAAUAGCUGUUAAUUAAGCCUGCACUUUUAGCUGAGCAAAGACUCCUGCUCAAAGCCUCCUCGUCCCCCUAGGGAAACAAAACCAAGACAGUGCCAGGCUGAAGUAUGAGAGUGGUUGUUGACAUUUGGCUAUGUAGUAGUGGUGAGAAGAAGCAAAUAGGCUUCUAGCAACAGUGCCACUGUCUUGAAAGUGAUCCUUGUGCAGGUCCAGAUCAUGACUUCACAAGAGACUCAUCUGGGAAAGAAAGACAGGGCUGAACUGAAGAUGUUAGGCACGGGCUUGAACGCUAGAAGGAGGAACAAGCCCACUGAAAGCAUGAAUUUGAUGGUGCUGACAAGCAGUGUUUUGAAAGCGGGAUGUGCACCCUUACCUGCCAGGACCACCACCUCUGUUUCUGAGGGCUCCCUGGCAUUGCGCUGCAGUUGGCGCUUGGCCGCAGAGGAUGGUUUUCUCGGCCUGAAGCAGGAACACCAACUGCCAGCUGCUGGUUCCUUCACCUUGCUUCGUCUGGAGAGAGAAAACAGUGACUGGCGUGAGUCGUGCGUGGUGCAGGGUGAGGGAAGAGCCGCCCGGAGCUCUUGCCAACACUUGCUUGUUCCUAGCACUGCCUGGCUUCUGCUGAACACAACUUAGAAACUCGCUCCGUUUCACACAGUUGAGGAUGGUUCCAUUCCUAGAGCUCAGCCCUGGAGUCUUGCUGGCUACAUUCCCCUCAACCAUGUCAAGCAAGAUGCAGAGCAUGUGAGCAAAAGCUGCACAGCUGUCCAGGACAGCAGCGAAGGGAUGGCUUUGAUUGAGCUGGCAGGCGUAACUGCUUUCUGAGGAACCGUGCAGCCAUAGAGGAAAUUCAGAAGCAUCUCUUACUCUGGUAUUAACAGCUCAUCGGCGUCACCUCACUGCCAUGUUUAGCCUCUAGUGCCAGCAAGUCUGACCUACAGCUCUGCUUAGAGGAGAACUGGAAUUGGUUUCAGGCACGCGGCCCGGAAAGCUGGAAAACCCCAACGUUUCCAGGUACAGCCAGCACAGGCCAGGAUAGAGGUCCGUGUGCCUUGAUCCAUCUCGUGACUGCCUGCUCAGCGAGGAAGGAACGGUCCGUUUUGGUGGCUAAACUGAGCCCGUCGGGUAACUGUGUGCGAGUUGAAUCUCAGAGUGCAAAGGGAGCGGAGAUUGAGUACAACACCACACGCACCAUUAACGUCACGUAGCUUCUGCAAGUUUGUGCACUAGCAGUAGUGGUGAAAAACCCACAAAAGCCCACCCAACCACAUCUGAUAGGAAGGUGCUGGAAAAGAAAGUCCUCUUUACCUUUCAGACGGAAAGUCGAUGACUGUGUGGAAUUUACCCCCUGCAGCUGCGGGGCCUUCUUCCACUUCGAUGUCCCUGCUGUGCGUCAGUGUGGGAGAGCUGCUGUGGCCUCGCCUCUGUGCCUGUGCCUCCUCCACAGUGAGCAGCCUGGUGUCGGGAGAAGACACCUCCGCAGACUUGGGCCCUGAUGGAGAACUGUGCCCUGGAAGGGAAGACCACAGCUAAGAGGGAGGAUCAGAAAGCAGCAGCACAGCCAUCACAGUUCUGGGGGAGGUGCUGCCCGCUUCUCAGCCUUGCUUAUCCGAGCCACUGAAAGAAGAGGAGGUCCAAAGAACCGUGUGGUCAGAGGUACGUUUAUGGCAAAGGACACGGUCAUCAUUCACAGCAGCUCACUGUAGCGAAACAGGCAAACAAAAUCCCGAGAAGAGGGGGGCAGGGAACUCAGAAAGCUUUGCUGCCACGCUUUCAUCAAGCUUCACCUGCGUGCAAAACAUCAUCAUGGCAGGGAUGGUUUUCUCCUUGUCAAGUUUGGGCUUGGACACUCUCAGCAUCCAGCCACAGGAUGCCAUAUUCUAAUCUACGCCCACAAGUCUGCAGGCCCCUCGAUAGUGAAAGCGUAUUUCAGCCAUCCUGGAGAAGGCCUGCAUUUGAUCAAGGUGUCUGAUCAAGACAAAGCUAAUGCAGGAAGACGCUCACCUGCUCCAUCUCCGAUGCCUGAUGUGGAGCAGAAGAGGACGUCUGUGUGGCUGAUGAUGAACUCUACCACAUCCGACUGCCUCUGCAGUUCCAUGCAGGCAGCUCGUCCACUGGCGCAGGCAGACUCGUUCUGCUGGGAUCUGUAGAAAAGGCAGAUUGGAGGAGUCAUUGAUCCCAGAUCAUUUCCCCACAUCUGGAUUUGGCCAGCCACAAGCUGUCCAAUUGGGCUCUGGAGACUUCCGCAGUGGGCAAUCAGUGAUGCCACUGAAGAAAUUCUCCUGGAGGAUCAAGGACACACCAGCCCCAUUUGACAAAAACAAGAGAGCAGAAAUUGUCCUCCUCUAGAAACUGUGCCCGUGGGGAGAACAGAUCUAAGCCUUGUGCUGAAACGGAAAAAGAAGUUUACCUGAAGAGGUUGGGAGCCCACACAAUCGCUAAGUUCUUAGCGGGCAUCUUUGUGGCAGAGCAGCUCCCAGUGAGACAAGCCAAGUGUCUCAUCAGGUACGCCAGUGUCCUGGAAAGCAAGAGGCAGACCUUCAGCACCACUGAGCACGCCGUCCUGCAAUUCACAAAACAAACCUCAAGACACGCCAGUUCUUGUUCUUGCUACUGUCACGGAAUAGGAAGCAGAUCAAGCUUUCCCAGGUGCCACGCUGCAGCACCAAGCCCCAGCACAGCACAGACGCAGCCAUCAGCUGCACCAGCCGUGCCCCCGUGCCCAGGAACUGACCCAAUCCAUCAACCCCACGGAGCCAGCAACCACUUCAACACACACACAGGCAUCACGCUGCGAGCGUGAGACAAAGCCUGCCAUCGCAUCAUCGCCCUCUGAAAUGCAGCAGGGCUGAGCUCACCAGACUGAGGGCAGCGGUUUUCUGACCUGUAGUGAGGCGCGGGCAGCUGCUGGAUGACGUCCUGCAUUCUGAGCAACCGCUCCUCAUCUGUAGCGGCACAAACAGCAUCCUGGAAGAAAGCAGAGAGGGAUUUAGACACAGAUCAGUAGAGAUACCUGCCGCAGGCUCGGCAACUUUGAAGACAGAAUGCUGUUGCUCAGCACCGAGGUGGAUUUUAUGCCUUCCAACAGGCAGAAAACCUGGGGAACACAGCGGCACUCAGCUGGUGCCAUUGAGGCCAAGCAGUCCAAGCACUGGGCCGCUUUACAGCCUGACUGAUUGUGCACCUCAGCUCCUCGCAGUGGGCAUUCAUCUCCCAGGAACUUGUGCUAUUAAUCCCAUUCCCGUUCCAGAAAUAGUUGGGGAAUAGCAAAAGAACGGGAAUUCUCGCAAGCUUUGUGAAUACAGAAAUGACCACCUCCAGAAAUGAGCACCAAAAGUGCUGGCAUCAGUAUGCUGCAGGAUGUGGCAGAGACAUGCGAGUCUACCUCAUGGGGCUAACAGAAAAUCAGAAAAAAAGACCAUGAGGUGCGCAGGUGUGUGUGUAUGUGACAGGCCAUGCCAAGAGGCCCAGGGAAGAGGGACAUGAAAGCCAUUGCCUUGUGCUUACCGAGAACUUGCCAUACAGCUGCUCGGUCAGCAGAGGGGUCGGGAGCUCCCUGAAGUACAUCUUGCACAGGGAGCUCACGCUGUGAACGUCACGGACGGUUAGCUCCGGAAUCUGCUCAGACUCAAAUUCAUGGCUGGAGAAAAGGACACAAAAACGGGCUUUGAGAAAGAGGAAGACAAGUCCAAAGCAAUACACGAUACAGUCGAGAAAAGGAAGGGGUUCCUGCUUCACAGGAGAAAAGAAACGCUCUGACAACUGGCUGCCUACUCCACAAUCACAUGCCAGGAGCCCAGAGCAGCAAGGAGGAGUGUGGGCUGCUCCAAAGGGCUCUGCCAACAAGAGGAAACAGGAAUGAGAGCUGACACCGCAGUCCCCCACAGCCUUCCAAUGCUCUCAAGGACUGAAGGAGAACUUCCUGCCCCAGCAAGUCUACUCAACGCCCCGUGUUCCUAUCAAACAGACACAAGCCUGGCGCACCACCGCUGAGCGCACGCUGCCGGCACACAGCUGCCCCACAGCACAGGCCUCUAAACGCCCGCAGCAUGGCACGUGCCCCUGCUGACAGCUGUGUCAGUCGCAGCACUCUUACCGUAGCUUCUGGAUCCUGGACGCCACGCCGGACAGGCGGUAGAUCCCCUGCACCACGCCAUGCUGCUCAAUGAACUCAGCGCAGCUCUGCAGGACCUGGGGGACUACGGAACAAGUGCCAGCGGUUAGCUGAGCUCCUGAUUCAAGUCCUGCUUCAGCCGCUGCUCCUGUCACAUCCCAUCCACUAAGCCCAGCCACGCUACUGCAAGCCUCCUCCUUAGAGGAGAAAGAAAGCCGGCACAGACGUCUCUGACAGGCAGGAGCUGGAGAGGAAACUGGACACAGACGUGCUCUUGGCUUUCCACAAAUGCCAGGACCUGCCAAUCAGCCUGCAGAAAGUAAUUCUGGGGAAGCCAGAGACACUGCAAGUCCCGUCACAGCUCCCACCACAAUGGAGGCGUGAAAUCUCACGUCCAGAGAGCUAGGAAACUGACGCAGUACACUCUCUUGGGCCAAAAGGCUGCCUUUGUUUUCAGGCUAGCGUGGGAUUGGCUUACACCUUUUGCUUUAAGCAAAUACAAGUGGGCUGGUCUCCUACGAGCAUUAGCCUCAGCUUACCUUUCAGCCAUCAACUCCCACCUCACCUUUCUCCACCGCUAUCAACCUGCCCCUUGCCAGAGAUGAUCUCCCUUUCAUCUUUACAUGCCCAACAGAGGAAGCUCUCAGGAACGGGCUGUUCCUUACCAUCACGGCCAGCGUGGAGAAGAUGCUCUCCCAGGUCACAGCCAAACACCCCUUCCUUCUCCUUCUCCAUCUCCCGCUGCUUCGGUUUCUUUGGGCGGGCCUUCGCAAAGGAACGAAGGAAGCUGACGAGCUUGCCACGCUUCUUUGGCACUGCACAACACAAGGAAGAAACCAGUUCAUUUCACGCUGGGCUCAGCGGGACCAGGCCGAGCGUCACACAUUCUACAGAGCACGUAAAAGCGGGAAGAACAUUGCCAACAAGUACAUACAACAACGGACUUUCCCCGUCCCUGGAGGAGUCCAAGGCCACGUUGGAUGGGGCCCUGGGCAGCCUGGUCUAGUCUGGCAUUCAAAGUGGAGGUUGGCAGCCCAGCCUGAGGCACGGGGGUUGGAGCUUGAUGAUCCUUGAGGUCCCUUCCAUCCCAAGCCAUUCUACAAGGAUCCUAUCGUUUGCCCAAGCCCUCAUUCUCACUGCCUACAAAACAGCAGCC